GACGAACGCUGGCGGCGUGCUUAACACAUGCAAGUCGAACGAUGAAGCUGGAGCUUGCUCCGGUGGAUUAGUGGCGAACGGGUGAGUAACACGUGAGUAGUCUGCCCUCGACUCUGGGAUAACUGCGGGAAACUGUAGCUAAUACCGGAUACGACACCUUCGGGCAUCCGAUGGGUGUGGAAAGAAUUUCGGUCAAGGAUGAACUCGCGGCCUAUCAGCUAGUUGGUGAGGUAAUGGCUCACCAAGGCGACGACGGGUAGCCGGCCUGAGAGGGUGACCGGCCACACUGGGACUGAGACACGGCCCAGACUCCUACGGGAGGCAGCAGUGGGGAAUAUUGCACAAUGGGCGAAAGCCUGAUGCAGCAACGCCGCGUGAGGGAUGAAGGCCUUCGGGUUGUAAGCCUCUUUUAGUUGGGAAGAAGCGAAAGUGACGGUACCAACAGAAAAAGCACCGGCUAACUACGUGCCAGCCGCCGCAGUAA
rnacentral:rRNA from 1 species